rnacentral:lncRNA from 1 species
CAGUGUUGCUUUGGAAUUCAUUUUAUUCUGCUGCCGCAGCUAAAACAGGGUGGCAACUCAACGGCGCAACAACUAAAAUCCUCCGUCGAGCGCGUUGAAAACACAUCAGUAGCUGACGGCAAAAAUAGUUUAUAUACCAUUCAUUACCUAUUAGCAAAUAAUCACAAUCAGUGGUUAUUUUUAUUAGCGGUGAGCGGUACCGCAUGCAAAUAGUCGCAAAAUGGCGCUUAGAAUUUGGAUAAGAAACGAAAUACGUGAGGCUUACGUAAGUGCGAGGACCAACAACAACGCUGGGAAGAGAGAAAACAAGUUGUUUAGAAAACAGGGUGUACCAUUGUCACCCAGCCAUGUGGUGGAAACGAUGAUCAGAACAUCUGGGUAAGACACCCUGUUUGAGCCAAAGAGAGAGAGCGGGUGUGAGAGCAGCGCACCCACACAAGCGCAACGAGUAUACAGCAGAUAGCGACGUCGGCAGAGCGUUUUAGCCGACCAUUGCAGUACAUAUGUGAAAUCGACGAAACCGAAAAUCAGAAACCAAACGGACCACUAGCGAGCUACAACUCUGCCACGGCUACACUUUACACACUCAUGUACUCCUCCACCACCUCACUCGCCAGCGCACUCACACACAGACGCGUGCGUGCGGAGAGAGGAAGUAAAAAUAUGAAGACAAAAAAAAGCAAGUGCAUCUCACCAUGACAAUGGCGGAACCAUAAAAACACAUGUUCCCAUCUCGAAUCGAACUGAAUUCGGCGGCCAGCUCCUUCACAAAAUAAAAUAAUACAGACAAAAAAUCUGUAUACGCGCAAAAGUUGAGCUGCUAAAACAUGGAAACCUUGCAGUUAUCGAUUCGUCUCGCUCAUUGCGCAAUGAAAAAAAUGCAGCGGGGGCGGAGGAUACGAGAGAGCCUCUCUCUUUGUGAGACACCUGCAGCGAUAGGAAAUGCAAAUCCGCCUUCCACUUUCCAGCUCGAAAGUUCAAAGUUCACAUGCAACUAACUAGCUACUGGGUGCAGCGCAUGUCCGAGGUGCACCAAAGUCCCUGGACCAAACAAAAAAAUGGCACAAACCAAACUCUCCGACUUCCAGGCGCCGCAGGAAGAUCUGUCAUGGAAUGCGGCACUAGGAAAUAUUAACUGACGCUGAUCAAGUGAUAUCUGAAAUGUGGUAAAGAGGUUCCUGUCACACGGACCCAUUUCUAUAAAAAAAACUAAUUAGUUUGAUAUUCGUACGUGUUCUGCAAAUUAUCAGAUGUUUUUAACUCUCUUGAGUCACAUGAUAUUUAAUGUGAUAAAAACUUUUUGUUAUUUAUUGUUUGUUUGUCCUAAAAAAUUGACAACACAGUAAAUGGAAAACUUUACUAUAAAAU